rnacentral:rRNA from 1 species
AGAGUUUGAUUAUGGCUCAGGAUGAACGCUAGCUACAGGCUUAACACAUGCAAGUCGAGGGGCAGCAUUGAGAUAGCUUGCUAUUCAGAUGGCGACCGGCGCACGGGUGAGUAACGCGUAUCCAACCUUCCCCUUAGUAGGGGAUAGCCCGGUGAAAAUCGGAUUAAUACCCUAUGUUGUUCGAAGCAGACAUCUAAAUUGAACCAAAGGUUUACCGCUAAGGGAUGGGGAUGCGUCUGAUUAGGUAGUAGGCGGGGUAACGGCCCACCUAGCCGACGAUCAGUAGGGGUUCUGAGAGGAAGGUCCCCCACAUUGGAACUGAGACACGGUCCAAACUCCUACGGGAGGCAGCAGUGAGGAAUAUUGGUCAAUGGGCGCGAGCCUGAACCAGCCAAGUAGCGUGCAGGACGACGGCCCUAUGGGUUGUAAACUGCUUUUAUACAGGGAUAAAGUCACCUACGUGUAGGUGUUUGUAGGUACUGUAUGAAUAAGGACCGGCUAAUUCCGUGCCAGCCGCCGC